rnacentral:rRNA from 1 species
GCAAGUCGAACGGUAACAGGUCUUCGGAUGCUGACGAGUGGCGCACGGGUGAGUAACACGUACAUAACUUACCUUCAAGUUGGGAAUAUCCUCUGGAAACGGAGAGCAAUACCCUAUGUUAUUACGAGGAUGCAUGUCCUUGUAAUCAAAGUUUCGGCGCUUGGAGAUAGGUGUGCGUAUCAUUAGGUAGUUGGUAAGGUAACGGCUUACCAAGCCUUCGAUGAUUAGGGGGCGUGAGAGCGUGAUC